rnacentral:rRNA from 1 species
CUGGCUCAGAGUGAACGCUGGCGGUAGGCCUAACACAUGCAAGUCGAACGGCAGCACAGGAGAGCUUGCUCUCUGGGUGGCGAGUGGCGGACGGGUGAGGAAUACAUCGGAAUCUACUUUUUCGUGGGGGAUAACGUAGGGAAACUUACGCUAAUACCGCAUACGACCUACGGGUGAAAGCAGGGGAUCUUCGGACCUUGCGCGAUUGAAUGAGCCGAUGUCGGAUUAGCUAGUUGGCGGGGUAAAGGCCCACCAAGGCGACGAUCCGUAGCUGGUCUGAGAGGAUGAUCAGCCACACUGGAACUGAGACACGGUCCAGACUCCUACGGGAGGCAGCAGUGGGGAAUAUUGGACAAUGGGCGCAAGCCUGAUCCAGCCAUACCGCGUGGGUGAAGAAGGCCUUCGGGUUGUAAAGCCCUUUUGUUGGGAAAGAAAUCCAGCUGGUUAAUACCCGGUUGGGAUGACGGUACCCAAAGAAUAAGCACCGGCUAACUUCGUGCCAGCAGCCGCGGUAAUACGAAGGGUGCAAGCGUUACUCGGAAUUACUGGGCGUAAAGCGUGCGUAGGUGGUCGUUUAAGUCCGUUGUGAAAGCCCUGGGCUCAACCUGGGAACUGCAGUGGAUACUGGACGACUAGAGUGUGGUAGAGGGUAGCGGAAUUCCUGGUGUAGCAGUGAAAUG